rnacentral:rRNA from 1 species
CAUGUCUGUAUGGUUGUUAUAUAGAGUCUAGCCUGCCCACUGAUGAAAGUUAAAGGGCCGCGGUAUUUUGACCGUGCGAAGGUAGCAUAAUCAUUAGUCUUUUAAUUGGAGGCUUGUAUGAAUGGUUGGACAAAAAAUAAGCUGUCUCUGUUUUAUUUCUUGAAUUUAACUUUUAAGUGAAAAGGCUUAAAUGUUCUAGGGGGACGAUAAGACCCUAUAAAGCUUUACAGCGUAUUAAUUAAAUUUUAAAUUGUUAGUAUUAACUUAAUUUAUUUAAUAACUGUUUCGUUGGGGCGACGAAAAUAUAAUAAAUAGUAACUGUUUUUCUUUAUAAAAUAACAAUAAGUUUUUGGAAGUAAUUGAUCCUUUCUUAAAGAUUAAAAGAUUAAGUUACUUUAGGGAUAACAGCGUAAUCUUCUUUGAGAGUUCAUAUCGACAAGAAGGGUUGCGACCUCGAUGUUGAAUUAAGGUUUCCUUGAGGUGUAGCAGUUUCAUGGGAGGGUCUGUUCGACCUUUAAAUCCUUACGUGACUU